ACAGAUCGGGAUACUCAUCAAACAAUUCAUUGAAAACCGGGAACCAUCUCAUGCCAAUGGCGGGCCACUAACCAAGCUUUGAUUCAUUGCCGGUGGAUUACAAAGGCGGAGAACUCCCAUAACCUGUAAUCAAGGAGUUUUCAUCACAUCGCUGGUACGACCCUU
rnacentral:sRNA from 1 species